UGAAGUUUUUUCAGUUCACCCAUAAGUCCAGACCAGGAUGGACGGAGAUAGUCUUCAUGCCCAGCUGAGACUUACUUUGCCCUCUGGUCUGAUCCAGAGGUGGUGGUGAACAAGACCCAGGCCCAAGAUAAUGAUAUGAAUUAUGACUUCUAAAUGAAGAUGAGCAAGUGGAAGUCUCAAAAUAUCAGGCAUAUGUUCAUUUGAAGGAGUUCCAUAUGCCAAGUCUGACCCAGUUCCCAUAAGUAUUAAGAAGGCAUGACUGGAACUACUGUACCUGUUCACUCAGCUACAAGAAGAGCUUGAGUAUUUUACUUGUGCCAGCUGCAAAACUGCAUCAUCUGUCUCAAGUCACAGAAGCAAUGGCUUUUACCAAGAGCAAAAGAGCUGGUUAGGACACUAAUUAAAAACAAUUGUUGGAGUUGCAGGAAAAGAAACAGGAGCUGUGCAGCAAAUGGGGAAGUUUGGACACUGUCAAGGAAGAAAGAGCAAUAUUGCUAUACAUAGAAAGACCUUGAGACUUGUGAACCAAGUCACAUGAUAAUAAAAAUAUUCCUCCCA